UUGUUUGUUUUUUUGAGCGUUCGGUGGAUGCCUUGGCAUCAGGGGCCGAUGAAGGACGUGGUGGCCUGCGAUAAGCCUCGGGGAGCCGGCUGACGGGCUGUGAUCCGAGGGUGUCCGAAUGGGGGGACCCGGCACGAGUUAUGUCGUGUCACUCGUACCUGAAUUCAUAGGGUGCGGGGGGUGACGCGGGGAAGUGAAACAUCUCAGUACCCGUAGGAGAAGAUAUUCCGUGAGUAGUGGCGAGCGAAAGCGGAUGAUGGUUAAACCGUGUGCGUGUGAUACCCGGCAGGGGUUGCGUGUGCGGUGUUGUGGGGCGUGUUCUUCCAUCCUCUGCCGGGGGUGGGCGCAGUGAGAAACUGGUGUGGUAGCUGAACCUCCUGGGAAGGGGGGCCGUAGUGGGUGAUAGCCCCGUAGGUGAAACCAUGCUGGCUGCGUGGGUGCGUUCCCGAGUAGCACGGGGCUCGUGGAAUCCUGUGUGAAUCUGCCAAGACCACUUGGCUGCCUGAAUACCUCCUGAUGACCGAUAGCGGAUAGUACCGUGAGGGAAUGGUGAAAAGUACCCCGGGAGGGGAGUGAAAUAGUACCUGAAACCGGGCGCUUACAAGCCGUCAGAGCCUUUCCUUUGUGGGGGUGAUGGCGUGCCUAUUGAAGAAUGAGCCUGCGAGUUAGCGCCGUGUCGCGAGGUUAACCCUUGGGGGGUAGCCGUAGCGAGAGCGAGUCUGAAAGGGCGAGUUAAGUGGCACGGUCUAGACCCGAAGCGGGGUGAUCUACCCAUGGCCAGGUUGAAGCACGUGUAAGAGCGUGUGGAGGACCGAACCCACCUAGGUUGAAAACUGGGGGGAUGAGCUGUGGGUAGGGGUGAAAGGCCAAUCAAACUCCGUGAUAGCUGGUUCUCCCCGAAAUGCAUUUAGGUGCAGCGUCUCGUGGUCCCCGGCGGAGGUAGAGCUACUGGGUGGCUGAUGGGCCCCACAGGGUUACUGACGUCAACCAAACUCCGAAUGCCGUUCGGGUUAUAGCGGGGCAGUGAGACAGCGGGGGAUAAGCUCCGUUGUCGAGAGGGAAACAGCCCAGAUCGCCGGCUAAGGCCCCUAAGCGUGUGCUAAGUGGGAAAGGAUGUGCGGUCGCGCAGACAACCAGGAGGUUGGCUUAGAAGCAGCCAUCCUUGAAAGAGUGCGUAAUAGCUCACUGGUCAAGUGAUCGUGCGCCGACAAUGUAGCGGGGCUCAAGCACACCGCCGAAGCCGCGGACCCAUCACGUGUUCCCUACCGGGUUUGUCCUGGUCAGGGGUGGUGGGUGGUAGGGGAGCGUCCUGCACCGGGUGAAGCCGCAGAGUGAUCUAGUGGUGGACGGUGCGGGAGUGAGAAUGCAGGCAUGAGUAGCGAUACUAGGGUGAGAAGCCCUAGCGCCGAAUGACCAAGGGUUCCAGGGCCAGGCUAGUCCGCCCUGGGUGAGUCGGGACCUAAGGCGAGGCCGACAGGCGUAGUCGAUGGAUGACGGGUUGAUAUUCCCGUACCGGCGAAGCACCGCCCAUGCUGACGCGCGGGUGCUAACCCACGCCCGGCACCACAAUCGCGCCUUCUGGUGGCUUCGGCUGCCUGUUGGUGUGGUGGUGUGGGGUCUGGGGACCCUCCGUGCAGGUAGGCAAGCGUGUUAACAGGGGUGACGCACAGUGGUAGCCUCCGCGGGCCUAAUGGCUUGGCCCGUUCAAGCGAGCAGCCCGACAGCCAGGCAAAUCCGGUUGUCUUCCUUUGAUGGUAAGGGUCAGACGUGAUGGUGACCUGCCCUUCUCGGGUGGGGAAGUAGGGUGAUCCUGGGGUGCCGAGAAAAGCCUCGACGCGAUGGUGCCAGCCGCCCGUACCCUAAACCGACACAGGUGGUCGGGCAGAGUAUGCCUAGGCGCACGAGUGAAUCAUGGUGAAGGAACUCGGCAAAAUGCCCCCGUAACUUCGGGAGAAGGGGGGCCCGAGCCUUGAAGCCCCUUUUUGCGGGCUAGGGGUGAGGGUCGCAGAGACCAGGGAGAAGCGACUGUUUACUAAAAACACAGGUCCGUGCGAAGCCGCAAGGCGAUGUAUACGGACUGACGCCUGCCCGGUGCUGGAAGGUUAAGAGGAACCGUCAACCCCCGUCGUGGGGUGAAGCGGUGAAUUUAAGCCCCAGUAAACGGCGGUGGUAACUAUAACCAUCCUAAGGUAGCGAAAUUCCUUGUCGGGUAAGUUCCGACCUGCACGAAUGGCGUAACGACUUCUCCACUGUCUC
rnacentral:rRNA from 1 species